rnacentral:rRNA from 1 species
UGCGUAGAUGGCAUAACAAGUUAUCAGUGAAAACGAGGCCCAACCUCGUGGAAAUUGGUAAUACUAUUUUGCUUGAGUGCAGGAGAGGUUAAUGGAACUCCAUGUGGAGCGGUAAAAUGCAGAGAUAUAUGGGGGAACAUCAAUAAAGGCGAAGGCAGUUAACUAUUCUGCUACUGACAUUGAGGCACGAAAGCGUGGGGAGCAAAACGGAUUAGAUACCCGUGUAGUCCACGCCCUAAACGAUGAGUACUAAAUAUUGGGAACUUGAUUCUCAGUGUCGCUAGGUAACCCAGUAAGUACUCCGCCUGGGCAGUACGCUCGCAAGAGUGAA